GGGGCUGACUUUGGUUUUGACAGCAAGUAGAAUGGGUAGGUAAGCAUGUCGAGUGUCUGCGUUGUACUCGUAAAAAAGGAUGCAGAGAACCAAUAAGUGGCAAUGAUUACAAUUUUGCUCUCGCUGCGUAGUACUUGCUCAGCAAUACUAUCUUAAUCGCUUUGCGGAAGGUAAGGCGACGAGAUGUCCCACGGUGCGUACGGUUCUGUUUCGCGCCGUAAUGGGGCACCAUAACGACAGGACUAGCCGUGCGUAUCGUUUCGCACGCGCGGUGAAAUUUAGAAACCACGGAUACAGUUUUGGAUGUCCUACGCCAGCUGUAUCCCGGCAAUCAAGUUAGGACUAAGCAUGUAGAAAGCUUGCUGGUUCCUUGUUUGGACGCGGGUUCGAAUCCCGCCAGCUCCACA
rnacentral:tmRNA from 1 species